rnacentral:lncRNA from 13 species
GGAUACAGUUACGUAACUGGGAUCAGUCAAAGCUAAACUAAACUGGAAUAGGCAGAUGGGGCCACACAGCCUGGAAAAAGCUGGUACCAAAUUGGCUUGCUGAAAUAAAUGCUUCCAUUCUGCUAUUUAAAAGGAGUACAGGUCAUAAUUUGCUGCUGUUUACAAUGCAGCAGCGGGCUUUUUUGAGCUUCUGGAUCAUGUUGAUCAAUAUCAGAUCUGUGUGUCUUUUCUGUGCUCUUGAGAAAUGAUUUUGGCAAGUCUACUUUAGCUGGCAGAGGUUUUGUCAAGCAGGUGCAGCCUCCAGCAUCAAGUAUGAAAAUGGGCUGACAGAAGGAUCUUGCCCACAGUAAAACAAAGCUACGAUGGCUUGGACUCAUAACCUUUACAGUCUCAUUUUCAGGGCUCCACAGAAAGUAACUGCUCAUGAAGUACUACCUCAUCUCCGUCUCUCAGCUUCAGUAGCUCUAGCCUGGAUGGUAAGCGUCUCAUAGUGUUACAAAGAAUCGAAACAAGCAAUUUGUGGGAUCAAAACAA